rnacentral:rRNA from 1 species
CUUCCGUAGGUGAACCUGCGGAAGGAUCAUUACUGAGUGCGGGCUGCCUCCGGGCGCCCAACCUCCCACCCGUGACUACCUAACACUGUUGCUUCGGCGGGGAGCCCUCUCGGGGGCGAGCCGCCGGGGACUACUGAACUUCAUGCCUGAGAGUGAUGCAGUCUGAGUCUGAAUAUAAAAUCAGUCAAAACUUUCAACAAUGGAUCUCUUGGUUCCGGCAUCGAUGAAGAACGCAGCGAACUGCGAUAAGUAAUGUGAAUUGCAGAAUUCAGUGAAUCAUCGAGUCUUUGAACGCACAUUGCGCCCCCUGGCAUUCCGGGGGGCAUGCCUGUCCGAGCGUCAUUGCUGCCCAUCAAGCCCGGCUUGUGUGUUGGGUCGUCGUCCCCCCCGGGGGACGGGCCCGAAAGGCAGCGGCGGCACCGUGUCCGGUCCUCGAGCGUAUGGGGCUUUGUCACCCGCUCGAUUUAGGGCCGGCCGGGCGCCAGCCGACGUCCAACCAUUUCUUCAGGUGACCUCGGAUCAGUAGAUCCCCG